rnacentral:rRNA from 1 species
UUGAACGCUGGCGGCAUGCUUUACACAUGCAAGUCGAACGGUAACAGGCCGCAAGGUGCUGACGAGUGGCGAACGGGUGAGUAAUGCAUCGGAACGUGCCCAGUCGUGGGGGAUAACGCAGCGAAAGCUGCGCUAAUACCGCAUACGAUCUAUGGAUGAAAGCGGGGGACCGUAAGGCCUCGCGCGAUUGGAGCGGCCGAUGUCAGAUUAGGUAGUUGGUGGGGUAAAGGCUCACCAAGCCGACGAUCUGUAGCUGGUCUGAGAGGACGACCAGCCACACUGGGACUGAGACACGGCCCAGACUCCUACGGGAGGCAGCAGUGGGGAAUUUUGGACAAUGGGCGCAAGCCUGAUCCAGCAAUGCCGCGUGCAGGAAGAAGGCCUUCGGGUUGUAAACUGCUUUUGUACGGAACGAAACGGCUCUGGUUAAUACCUGGGGCUAAUGACGGUACCGUAAGAAUAAGCACCGGCUAACUACGU